CUCGCUCAAGAGGCUUCGAGGCUUGCUCGUUACAACAAGAAGCCCACCAUCACUUCACGAGAGAUCCAGACUGCUGUGAGGCUGGUGUUGCCUGGGGAGCUUGCUAAACAUGCUGUUUCCGAGGGGACUAAGGCUGUUACUAAGUUCACUAGUUCUUAAAGUUUAGGUUUUCUUAUGGUUCUUUUGUGGGUGCUUUAGAGCUAUUUGAGUGGUGAUAUUAGGGAUCUAGGGUUUCUGGAUGUAAAUUGUUUUUCUGGGUUAUUGUUUUUUUUUUUUUUUAAUUGAACUUU
rnacentral:misc_RNA from 1 species